rnacentral:rRNA from 1 species
GACGAACGCUGGCGGCGUGCCUAAUACAUGCAAGUAGAACGCUGAAGCUUGGUGCUUGCACCGAGCGGAUGAGUUGCGGACGGGUGAGUAACGCGUAGGUAACCUGCCUGGUAGCGGGGGAUAACUAUUGGAAACGAUAGCUAAUACCGCAUAAGAGUAGAUGUUGCAUGACAUUUUCUUAAAAGGUGCAAUUGCAUCACUACCAGAUGGACCUGCGUUGUAUUAGCUAGUUGGUGAGGUAACGGCUCACCAAGGCAACGAUACAUAGCCGACCUGAGAGGGUGAUCGGCCCAACUGGGACUGGGACACGGCCCAGGAUCCUUACGGGGGCAGCAGUAGGGAAUCUUCGGCAAUGGAGGGAAGGCUGACCGAGCAACGCCGCGUGAGUGAAGAAGGGUUUCGGAUCGGAAAGCUCUGUUGUAAGGGAAGAACGAGUGUGAGAGUGGAAAGUUCACACUGUGACGGUAUCUUAUCAGAAAGGGACGGCUAACUACGUG